GGGGUGGCUAGGUUUAGCGACCGAACAGCCGUAACCGCACGGCCUGCCACCCUUUUACAAAUGCGGA
rfam:Sphingomonadales bacterium EhC05 A9_Contig21, whole genome shotgun sequence.